AACGCGAAGAACCUUACCUGGGCUUGAACUGCACUUGACAAAGGUAGAAAUAUCUCUCCCGCAAGGGCAAGUGUAGAGGUGCUGCAUGGCUGUCGUCAGCUCGUGCCGUGAGAUGUUGGGUUAAGUCCCGCAACGAGCGCAACCCCUAUCACUAGUUACCAGCGGUCCGGCCGGGGACUCUAGUGAGACCGCCGAUAUUCAAAUCGGAGGAAGGUGGGGACGACGUCAAGUCAUCAUGGCCCUUAUGUCCAGGGCCACACACGUGCUACAAUGGUUGCUACAAAGCGUUGCGAACCCGCGAGGGGAAGCCAAUCGCAAAAAAGCAACCUCAGUACAGAUAAGAGUCUGCAACUCGACUCUUUGAAGUCGGAAUCGCUAGUAAUCGCUGAUCAGCAGGCAGCGGUGAAUACGUUCCCGGGCCUUGUACACACCGGCUAC
rnacentral:rRNA from 1 species